rnacentral:rRNA from 1 species
AUUGAACGCUGGCGGCAUGCCUAAUACAUGCAAGUCGAACGAGUGGCGGACGGGCGAGUAAUUUCUGGGAAACUGCCUGAAGGAGGGGGAUAACUACUGGAAACCGUAGCUAAUACCGCAUACCAUCAGAUGUGCUCAGAUGGGAUUAGCUUGCUGGUGGGGUAACGGCUCACCAAGGCGACGAUCCCUAGCUGGUCUGAGAGGAUGACCAGCCACACUGGAACUGAGACACGGUCCAGACUCCUACGGGAGGCAGCAGUAGGGAAUAUUGCGCAAUGGGCGCAAGCCUGAUGGAGCAAUGCCGCGUGAAUGAAGAAGGCCUUCGGGUUGUAAAGUACUUUCAGCGGGGAGGCGUUACCCAAAGAGAAAGCAACGGCUAACUCCGUGCCAGCAGCCGCGGUAAUUC